GAUGAACGCUGGCGGCGUGCCUAAUACAUGCAAGUCGAGCGAACAGACGAGGAGCUUGCUCCUCUGACGUUAGCGGCGGACGGGUGAGUAACACGUGGAUAACCUACCUAUAAGACUGGGAUAACUUUGGGAAACCGGAGCUAAUACCGGAUAAUAUAUUGAACCGCAUGGUUCAAUAGUGAAAGACGGUUUUGCUGUCACUUAUAGAUGGAUCCGCGCCGCAUUAGCUAGUUGGUAAGGUAACGGCUUACCAAGGCAACGAUGCGUAGCCGACCUGAGAGGGUGAUCGCCCCCACUGGAACUGAGACACGGUCCAGACUCCUACGGGAGGCAGCAGUAGGGCAUCUUCCGCAAUGGGGGAAAGCCUGACGGAGCAACGCCGCGCGAGUGGUGAAGGUCUUCGGAUCGUAAAACUCUGUUAUUAGGGAAGAACAAAUGUGUAAGUAACUCUGCACGUCUUGACGGUACCUAAUCAGAAGGCCACGGCUAACUACGUG
rnacentral:rRNA from 1 species